rnacentral:rRNA from 1 species
GGCUAAUACCCGGCGGGACUGACGGUACCUGAGGAAUAAGCACCGGCUAACUUCGUGCCAGCAGCCGCGGUAAUACGAAGGGUGCAAGCGUUAAUCGGAAUUACUGGGCGUAAAGCGUGCGUAGGCGGUUUCUUAAGUCUGCUGUGAAAUCCCCGGGCUCAACCUGGGAAUGGCAGUGGAUACUGGGAGGCUAGAGUGUGAUAGAGGAUGGUGGAAUUCCCGGUGUAGCGGUGAAAUGCGUAGAGAUCGGGAGGAACAUCAGUGGCGAAGGCGGCCAUCUGGAUCAACACUGACGCUGAGGCACGAAAGCGUGGGGAGCAAACAGGAUUAGAUACCCUGGUAGUCCACGCCCUAAACGAUGCGAACUGGAUGUUGGUCUCAACUCGGAGAUCAGUGUCGAAGCUAACGCGUUAAGUUCGCGCCUGGGGAGUACGGUCGCAAGACUGAAACUC